GGCGGGGGGCAUACUGGGCUUAAGCCGGGUCAUUUUUUCAGAAGCAUGGUGUCUUUUGGAGUGUAAUUUGUUAGUUAGAUGCCUGACUGACAACUGUAUAAAACAAAAACAACACACGAAGCACAGAGCGCACCGUUGUAAAUUCCCCCUAAUUUUGGUAUGAUCCGAGCUCAGGCACCGGGCGACUGAGCACAGCAUCCAUGUGCGCGAGGGGGGAGAAGCUGCUGCCUGCGAGUUUGCUGCAGACAGAGGAGAGCUUAAGUUUGACCAGCACAAAGAGGGAGAGAGAGGAACAGAGAGGGAGAGAGAGGAACAGAGAGGGAGAUGGAGAAUGAGGACAGAACAGAGAUGGAACCAGAGCAGGCGACCUUGAUGAGAGAGACAGAGUCUGGCUGGCAGUUCUCGCUGCAGUCUACCGGUAGCGUCUCCUUUCAGGCCAGGAUAGACGAAUGUCACCGAGCAGUGACUAAGUUUGUGGUCAAAGGCUUGCACCCAUUUGCCACAGCAGAUGCCCCCGAUUUUCGCUGUCUUCCCCCCACCUGUUCCAGGUCGUCAUCUCUCUGUUUAUAUUCUCAUUAGCUGUAAACCCCGCCCACACAGUGAAAACAACAACAACAUCAGCUCCAGGACGGUCACAGCCAGUUUGAAAAUGAUGACCUUCACCUCUAUAAACAUGCACGAAUGAACAAAC
ensembl:lncRNA